GACGAACGCUGGCGGCGUGCUUAACACAUGCAAGUCGAACGGAAAGGCCCUGCUUUUGUGGGGUGCUCGAGUGGCGAACGGGUGAGUAACACGUGAGUAACCUGCCCUUGACUUUGGGAUAACUUCAGGAAACUGGGGCUAAUACCGGAUAGGAGCUCCUGCUGCAUGGUGGGGGUUGGAAAGUUUCGGCGGUUGGGGAUGGACUCGCGGCUUAUCAGCUUGUUGGUGGGGUAGUGGCUUACCAAGGCUUUGACGGGUAGCCGGCCUGAGAGGGUGACCGGCCACAUUGGGACUUAGAUACCGCCCAGACUCCUACGGGAGGCAGGAGUGGGGAAUAUUGCACAAUGGGCGGAAGCCUGAUGCAGCAACGCCGCGUGCGGGAUGACGGCCUUCGGGGUGUAAACCGCUUUCGCCUGUGACGAAGCGUGAGUGACGGUAAUGGGUAAAGAAGCACCGGCUAACUACGUG
rnacentral:rRNA from 1 species